rnacentral:rRNA from 1 species
UACGGGGGGGGGCAAGCGUUGUUCGGAAUUACUGGGCGUAAAGGGCGCGUAGGCGGUGCUCUAAGUCGGAUGUGAAAACUCUGGGCUCAACCCAGAGCCUGCAUCCGAAACUGGAGUGCUAGAGUUCUGGAGGGGGUAGCGGAAUUCCUGGUGUAGCGGUGAAAUGCGUAGAUAUCAGGAGGAACACCGGUGGCGAAGGCGGGUCUCUGGGCCGUAACUGACGCUGAGGAGCGAAAGCGUGGGGAGCGAACAGGG